GUCCAGAAGAGUGGAAUGAAUGAAGCCUGGACUCCUGUCCAUUUGUCUCCUAGUAGCUCUCCAUUGCAAUCAUCUGUCUCUUGCCUCAUGUUUCUUAUGUCCUCAACCCUGCCAGAGACACAACGUGCUGUACUGAGUAAGGACAGACAAAAAAUGUAAGGCUCUUUUUCCUAACCCAACAAGUGCUGGAGACCCAAUAGGAUGUGCCAGGAUGAGUGCCCUCUCCUGACCAGCCAGAAUAUGUGGGAUGACUACUGGUGUGGUUGCUACUCUCUAGUAGAAUGAGUCUGGGUGAGUUUCCCCUCCCUUUUAUCCAGUGUGGUGCAAAAUUCUAAUCUUUCCUCCCUAAACCACCUGCUAGUUUGUACAGAGCUUGUAGGGAGUUGAUUGUCUAUUCAAAUUUGGUUAAAAUGCUUAGGAGGGAUGGUUUGGCAAACAGGUGGACAGGCAACAUCAUUUUUUCUUAUACGGAACCAGACUAACAUUUUCUGCUAGGGACAAAGGCAACUUCUAAGUCAGCUUCUGUAAGGAAGGGUAAAUAAUAACCCAGGAGGAGCAGUAAGUCUAGAUGGAAAUUAAUGGUAGCACUAGGAAGUUUUGAAUGUAAGCAGAGCAGUCUGGUGACAAGUGCGUGAGUCAUAUUCACAGCACCUUGUGAAAUUUCCAGCAAUACCAAGGGCAAAACGCUCGCCCUCCGCCUGCAGGUGGGUUGGCAUUUAUGGAAUUGGAUUGAUACUUUAACCUACAAAUACAUUUGUUUUCUAAAUAUUUAUGUGGCCCUUUACAUGGAAAAAAAGACAAAAAUAGCAUUACGAACAAGGGUCAUAUCUUCCCGUUCUCAUCUUUCUGUCACCCAAUGCUGUGGCUGCACAAGCUGUCAAGCUGCUGGGGGCUCCCGGUACAGCCAAAACAGCCAAAGUAGGUGAAAGGUUGUGGAGGAGCACACAAACAAGCUGGCAUGCCUCCUCAGUAGUUCAGUGAGGGAAAGGUUCUGCAGCUGCUCCAGCGCUUACACAAUCUCCUGUGGCUGCUCAUAACUUGCAAAAGUCAAGAGUACAGUAGCUGGAUCGUUUUACAGAUGGACCUGUGACUGGUCAGCAACCUGCUUGGAGCUGUAAACAUGGCAACUCAGCAGCCUUGAAUGGGAGACACCCUUUUUCCUCAUUCCCUGCCUUUGUUACCCAUGUCUGAAAUUAUCUGUUACCUCCUUUAAAAUCAACCACUGGAUUGCUGGUUUCAAAAUUGCUUUUCCAAAAAAGUAGCUAAAGGCUUGCACGAGAUUAACUGUGGGUGUUUAAACUAGGAGUGUAGAGAUAGCCGAGGGGAAAAAAACCUGUUUUGGAGUAUAGCUGUACCAAAUAGGUAGGAAAUAAAGCUAGGACUCAAACUGUGAUAAAAGUAGGACUCAAAAGUGUUUAUCUUGAAAUGCUUGUCACAAUUCAGGAGGCUGCUUACUAAAUAGGGGAGUAGUAAUCUUCAGCCAAGUACACCAUUGCAGAGGAAAUAAAGGUAGGCUUUCAGAGUGGGUUGACACUGAUCUAAAGUACAUAGCUAGACACAAAAUAAUGUCCUUUUCCAGCCUUAGCUGACUACUGUAGCAGUUCUUGUGGAAGAGCGUGUGGCAUCAUCCAUGAGAGCUGAAGAUGCAGAGGAAAAUAAAGAGGAAAAGUGUCAUCAGGACAGCUGCCACUUUGGGCUACGGCUGCCUUUACUGUGAACAGUUCUGCUCUGGAGAAAAUCACCUGGGGAAAAGUGGACACCUUGUGAAAAGUCAGGGAAAAAGUUAAUGUUACCAAAAUACAUCUUUUAAGGUCUAAAUAUGUUUCAUCUGAAGAGUUACGUUUUUCUGUAAGAAUAUGGAAAUGGGGUUAGUGGAACAGGACAUUUAAAAUUGAAAGCUUUGGAUUAGACGUUUUAGGAGACACCUCACUGUGGUAUCUCCUAAAGGAGUUCUAGCUUCACCUGUAUCACGAAGGAGUUCUAGCUUCACCUGUAACUCUUACAUGGGUCAGGGACUUUGAACUGGUACACAUAGUGGGUUUUUUUUUUCAGAGUAGAUCACUCUGGGUGAAGAGGAGAUGUUUUUGCUAAGUUUUCUAUCAAAUGCGCUUUAUGCUGUUGACUGUAGCAAGACAAUUGGUAAAGUGGAUGUGAUGGCUUGAGUUUCGGCUCUGAACUGGAGCCUGAAACUGUUUCUCCAGGUUACGUUGUCUGAGGCUGAUCUUAGAAAGCAUUCCCAGUUGUUCUCUCUCAGCACUUCCUUCAUCAGAUUUGAAAGAGUUUAUUUUCUUUUAGUGUCCACAUCCCAUGAACUUGAAUGAGAAGUUUAGUCUAGGAAAUAGUAAGCCAAGACAUCAUCUAGAAAAGGGCUCUCUAUGGUGUUACCUAAUCACUCUCUCAAAGGGCUCAUGGUAUCUCUGGAAUGCUGCCUCUCCUUCAUGCUCUGGAUUACCCAAGGGAAGUUUGUUUUUUGUUUGCAACAUCCUGACUAUUAUCCCUGAAAUGUGAAUUCACAGAUACUGGGAAUUCACCAUAAAUACCGUAAAGACUGAGUUUCCAUAACAUACUCUAUAGGACUUGUCUACACAGUAGGGAGUUUUCAUACUUGAUUAAAUGUAUAGCCACAGGCUAAGGUGUGAAAACUGCAAUUAAAUAUGAAUAUGUAGCUUGUGUAUUAAAAUAUUCCUGAUAAAGAGCCAGCACAAUAAAAAAUAUUGCACUUCAAAAUUAAAAUGCUUUGCCUUUGGGUCCAGGUAAGUGCAAAAUAUGUUUUUGACAUGACUAACAGGUAAUGGGUAAAUUAUCAAUGCAACAUUGCUGGAACAUUAACAACAGUUUAAACAUUUAAACUUCCCAUUUAUUGUGACAAAAUCUCAUGGUAUAUUAAACAAAAUCUGCAGUCCUGCUAUGCAGGAUUAAGUAUGUUUUCUUGUUACUGUAAUUCCUUUAAUAUUAUUUAUUACUCUAUCCACUUCGGUAUUUUCAAACUCAGUUUCCAAUAUAGUGCUUAUCUAAUAGUCACUAAAAUGAAAAAAACAAAAUCAUCAAAAUUAUGGUGGUACUUGAUUUCCAGGAAUUCUGUCAUAAGUGACAUAAAAAUCCACACUAGUUUAAUAUUUCUUCAUUUAAUUUACUGAAAUUACACCAAUAUUCUAAAUUUACUGUGGUGGUUACAUUUAUAUGCAGCCAUUAAUGAACAUACAUUUAAUUUUGUUUAUAUAUGGAAAAGACCCCUAGAUAUAAGCAAAAAAUGAAUGAAGACAUUUCUGAACUAUUUAUCCAAUUUAAAAGUUAAAAAUAUGUGCAAACACAAGUCUUCAUUCCCUAUUUUCUGGGGCAUAAUAUCUGGGUACAAAUAAUCAGCAAUAAGUUUGCAGGCAUUGGUUUCAAAAAUCCCCCUUUGAAAGAAAAUAUUUUAACGUACUCACAGGAGGAUAUAGUCUGUGAAACAGAGAUGAAAAUUAUCUUUGUUGUGAGACCAACUGAAUUACAAAUUUUGUUUGAAAAAAUAUAUUAAGACAUAUUUUCACUGCUGAAAAACAGAUUCACUAAAAUGUUUAAGAUCUCCUUUUACACCAUAUAAGAAGCAGUAUAAUUUCUUUUUGCACACUCACACAACUACUGUUAAAGUGAGAGUUAUUAAGCCUUCCAUUUUGUGGAUACUCAUUAUGAAUACAUAUUUAACUAAAGUCGAAUAUUUGGGCAUUUCUUCAUUUCCAGAAAGAAAUAUAAGCUUCUUAUUCUCUAUUUCAACAGUACUAGAGAAAUGUUUUGAAAUUUCAAUAUUUAGAUCAAGAAAAAAAUCUAAUGUAAACAGUCUUGAAGACACUCUAGACAAGAGGAAAUUUGGUGAUCACCACAAGAGCCGUUGCUAGCUUUCAGCAGGUGCUGAGAGGGAGGGCAGUGCUUUCCCCUGGGUUGGGUGUUGGAGAACCAGUUUUCCUUCUGCUUUUUGUUCCAGAUAUGCUAUAUGGAAUCCUGAAAACCAGUUCCUUAUUUGCAACUCCCUCAAUGCUGAAAUUUAGGAAAGAGAGUUAAGAAUAUUAUCAAAGAAGCAAUAUAGGAUUUAACUGGAGUAAGA